rnacentral:rRNA from 1 species
UACGUAGGUCCCGAGCGUUGUCCGGGUUUAUUGGGCGUAAAGCGAGCGCAGGUGGUUUAUUAAGUCUGGUGUAAAAGGCAGUGGCUCAACCAUUGUAUGCAUUGGAAACUGGUAGACUUGAGUGCAGGAGAGGAGAGUGGAAUUCCAUGUGUAGCGGUGAAAUGCGUAGAUAUAUGGAGGAACACCGGUGGCGAAAGCAGCUCUCUGGCCUGUAACUGACACUGAGGCUCGAAAGCGUGGGGAGCAAACAGG